rnacentral:sRNA from 1 species
AGGUCUCAAUCAAAAGCUAUGGAUUAAUCAACAUAUCAUUUCUAUUUGGUAGUUAAAUCUGACUUUAUUGAUACAUAUAUAGACAAAUACCAACACCUAAAAAUUUAAAGAAAAAUACAGAGAAUAUGAACAUGAAUUUCAAAAGCAAAUCGUAAACAUAAUUAUAUUAGAAUGUCCCACAUCUUUGAGCAUUAUAUAAAAGAUGUAGCAAUUCUUAACUCUUGAACUAGCUUUUGGAAUAAGUUAGGCCACAUUCCUAAUAUGGUAUCAGAGAGUCAGGUUGGCCCAACAAAUAAAUUCCCACAAAAAUGGUUUUCCAUCUAUGUGGUCCAUACAAGUGGCAUGUCUUUUUGUAUUUCCGAGAUGUUGGGCUUGGACUGUUUCCCGCUGGACCGUUUUCCACUCACAUCUGGAGUAAGCUUAUUAGAAUGUCCCACAUCGCUUGAGAUUAAAAUUUUUGGACAUUAUAUAAAAAAUGUGGCAAUCUUUAACUUUUGAGAUAACUUGUGGAUUAAGUUAGGUCACAUUCCUAAUAGUAAUAUCACGUACAAACAAAAACCUUAACUCGAAUGGGCAUGUAACAUUGUAUAUGAGCCCAUCAUGUUUCUUCAUCAAGUAACAAAUAUUGACCUUCAAC